UACGCAGGGGGCUAGCGUUGCUCGGAAUUACUGGGCGUAAAGCGCACGUAGGCGGGUUCUUAAGUCGGUGGUGAAAUCCUGGAGCUCAACUCCAGAACUGCCUUUGAUACUGAAGAUCUUGAGUCCGGGAGAGGUGAGUGGAACUGCGAGUGUAGAGGUGAAAUUCGUAGAUAUUCGCAAGAACACCAGUGGCGAAGGCGGCUCACUGGCCCGGUACUGACGCUGAGGCACGAAAGCGUGGGGAGCAAACAGG
rnacentral:rRNA from 1 species